CUAAUCCAGUGCUUUCCAGGUGGCGAGGUUUUUUGCAGGAUAGUUAGGGAAGUCUCAUGAAUAUUCAUUAGGGAAGUCAUC